rnacentral:misc_RNA from 1 species
UCCGGUUUGACACCGGCAGUCUCGCUAGAGUACUCGCCAUUACGCGUGAGCAACUAACGACAGGGGUUGCGCUCGUUAAGGGACUUAACCCGACACUUCACAGCACGAGCUGACGACAGCCAUGCAGCACCUGUGCUUGUUCCACCCUUGCGGGUGUGGCUCGGCUUUCACCGAGUUAAUCCAAGCAUGUCAAACCCAGGUAAGGUUCUUCGCGUUGCCUCGAAUUAAGCAACAUGCUCCACCGCUUGUGUGAGCCCCCGUCAAUUCCUUUGAGUUUUAGCCUUGCGACCGUACUCCCCAGGCGGUACGCUUAUCGUUUUUACUGCGACCGAUCCCGCGUGAAAGCGGCACCGAUCUAGCGUACAUCGUUUACGGCGUGGACUAC